UGGUACAGAGUGGCACGCUCAA
rnacentral:misc_RNA from 1 species